AGGGAGUUAGUCUUGAAACCUAAAGACGUAAGGUUGUCAACCUUAAAAAGCUGUACUUUAAGGCAGCACUCUCUU
rnacentral:tRNA from 1 species